rnacentral:rRNA from 1 species
CCUACGGGAGGCUGCAGUGAGGAAUAUUGGUCAAUGGACGCGAGCCUGAACCAGCCAAGUAGCGUGAAGGAUGACUGCCCUAUGGGUUGUAAACUUCUUUUAUAUGGGAAUAAAAUGUUCCACGUGUGGGAUUUUGUAUGUACCUUAUGAAUAAGGAUCGGCUAACUCCGUGCCAGCAGCCGCGGUAAUACGGAGGAUCCGAGCGUUAUCCGGAUUUAUUGGGUUUAAAGGGAGCGUAGGUGGAUUGUUAAGUCAGUUGUGAAAGUUUGCGGCUCAACCGUAAAAUUGCAGUUGAAACUGGCAGUCUUGAGUACAGUAGAGGUGGGCGGAAUUCGUGGUGUAGCGGUGAAAUGCUUAGAUAUCACGAAGAACUCCGAUUGCGAAGGCAGCUCACUGGACUGCAACUGACACUGAGGCUCGAAAGUGUGGGUAUCAAACAGGAUUAGAUACCCUGGUAGUC